GAUGAACGCUGGCGGCGUGCCUAAUACAUGCAAGUCGAGCGAACAGAUGAGGAGCUUGCUCCUCUGACGUUAGCGGCGGACGGGUGAGUAACACGUGGAUAACCUACCUAUAAGACUGGGAUAACUUCGGGAAACCGGAGCUAAUACCGGAUAAUAUAUUGAACCGCAUGGUUCAAUAGUGAAAGACGGUUUUGCUGUCACUUAUAGAUGUAUCCGCGCCGCAUUAGCUAGUUGGUAAGGUAACGGCUUACCAAGGCGACGAUGCGUAGCCGACCUGAGAGGGUGAUCGGCCACACUGGAACUGAGACACGGUCCAGACUCCUACGGGAGGCAGCAGUAGGGAAUCUUCCGCAAUGGGCGAAAGCCUGACGGAGCAACGCCGCGUGAGUGAUGAAGGUCUUCGGAGCGUAAAACUCUGUUAUUAGGGAAGAACAAAUGUGUAAGUAACUAUGCACGUCUUGACGGUACCUAAUCAGAAAGCCACGGCUGACUACGUG
rnacentral:rRNA from 1 species